GUGCUCGCUUCGGCAGCACAUAUACUAAAAUUGGAACGAUACAGAGAAGAUUAGAAUGGCCCCUGCGCAAGGAGACAGCAAGACCAAAAGACUGUUCAGGUCUGU